rfam:Rubellimicrobium mesophilum DSM 19309 genomic scaffold scaffold1, whole genome shotgun sequence.
GGGGACCUUCGGGGCCCUUCAUCUAACGGACGCACCGUACGGUGCGCGAAGCAGACGGAAGACAGAAA